UACGUAGGGGGCUAGCGUUGUCCGGAAUCAUUGGGCGUAAAGCGCGUGUAGGCGGUUCGGUAAGUCCGCUGUGAAAGUCGGGGGCUCAACCCUCGAAUGCCGGUGGAUACUGUCGGACUAGAGUACGGAAGAGGCGAGUGGAAUUCCUGGUGUAGCGGUGAAAUGCGCAGAUAUCGAGAGGAACACCUGCGGCGAAGGCGGGUUGCUGGGCCGACACUGACGCUGAGGCGCGAAAGCCAGGGGAGCGAACGGG
rnacentral:rRNA from 1 species